UAAUCUCCCAAACAUCCGUUGUUAACCACUUCACCCCCUCUGGAUCCGUGCGGCAAGGUAAGAAAAAAGCCUGCGCGGCUUGGCCCUCUCUGCAUCGUAAAGUGCACAGGCAGGCGGGUGUAGCAGCUCCUCUGCUCUCCUCUCCUCUCUGCUCUCCGGGGCUGAGGCUGAGGCUGUCUUCCACUGCGGAUACAGAGCGGAUGGAGGCCGGGCACCGAGCAGGACACCAAGAGGACAUAACAACAAACCUGGCACGGGGCAAACAGUGGAGCGACUUGUGGUUGUUAAGGAGUGGCUGGCACGAGUCGCCAAGCCGGGGCAUGUGAGGUGCAAACGAAGAAGCAACGGAGACGGAAACAGCGGAGGUGUCGGGGCGUCGCAUGGCUGACGUUCUGGAUCACCGGGGGGAAGAUGGAAAUCGGAUGUCCGUGGGGAGAAGAAAUUGCAUGCCAACAGCACGUCGUUGGUGGAGUCCAUUUUUUUUUUUUCUUCUUGUGGGAGGCGUGUUUUAAGGAGCUCUGUUUCGUCCUCAUGUGGUCCGUCCCAGGGAUGAAAAAUGGCACGCAGCUGGCUGAGUACUUCCUUCCCCUUGUUGGGGUCAGCAGUUCACCGUGCUGAUAGAGACCCUCACACCUUCUUUAUUAGGAGCUCCUCUACACUCAGACAAGUUGUUAUUCUGCAUCACUGGACAGCCGUCAGCACUGCCUUUUGUCUAGGUUAUCUCUGAUUACAUGACUUCAUCUUUGCAUGAAGAGGAGACCAAGAAAACCCUGGCAACACCGUUUCUUUUUCAAAUUAAUGAUACCGUUAACCUUCGCUCCAUCAGAAGGAUUUUGUCAUUCAGGGAAUAAAUAUUUACGUGAAAUCUGAACAAGAACAGGGACACCCAGAUGUGUGGAUUUAAGAACCAGAGCAAUAUUUGCUUUAUAAGUUAGUUUCUCCCCAUCAAAGGAAGCUUUGCACUAAUUUUCUUACCCAGAAAGCUCAGAGUUGUAGAUGGGAAAGGGUGGCCAACUUUGACUUAGUUGGCAACAAACUGUUUUAAAUGGAAAAACCCUUUUAAAACCAGUUUCUAGACAUCUUCUCCAUGUGUCCGAGUGAUUUAUGCAGGCAAAAAAAUCAACUGAGGUCAACGUUGUCCCACCUGUGUUAAACCUCUGAGCUGCCAGGUUCGCCAGUCGAGGUUUAAAUCAUCUCAGAGAAAUUUAGUCACGUUUCCAAUGUCAGUUCUGUAUUAUGAAUAUAAUAAUAAUAAUAAAAAAGGUUUUUCAUUUAA